UCCGUAGGUGAACCUGCGGAGGGAUCAUUACCGAGUUUACAACUCCCAAACCCCUGUGAACAUACCAAUUGUUGCCUCGGCGGAUCAGCCCGCUCCCGGUAAAACGGGACGGCCCGCCAGAGGACCCCUAAACUCUGUUUCUAUAUGUAACUUCUGAGUAAAACCAUAAAUAAAUCAAAACUUUCAACAACGGAUCUCUUGGUUCUGGCAUCGAUGAAGAACGCAGCAAAAUGCGAUAAGUAAUGUGAAUUGCAGAAUUCAGUGAAUCAUCGAAUCUUUGAACGCACAUUGCGCCCGCCAGUAUUCUGGCGGGCAUGCCUGUUCGAGCGUCAUUUCAACCCUCAAGCCCCCGGGUUUGGUGUUGGGGAUCGGCGAGCCCUUGCGGCAAGCCGGCCCCGAAAUCUAGUGGCGGUCUCGCUGCAGCUUCCAUUGCGUAGUAGUAAAACCCUCGCAACUGGUACGCGGCGCGGCCAAGCCGUUAAACCCCCAACUUCUGAAUGUUGACCUCGGAUCAGGUAGGAAUACCCGCUGAACUUAAGCAUAUCAAUAAG
rnacentral:rRNA from 1 species